rnacentral:tRNA from 1 species
GGGCCCGUAGCUCAGUUUGGUAGAGCAUCUGACUCUUAAUCAGGGGGUCGAGGGUUCAAAUCCCUCCGGGCCCG